CAAAACCCCCCCUGCCCAAAGGGGUACCCCCAGGGGCCCCGGAAAAAGGGGGUUUUUCUGUGGUCUAAAAACCCUAGGGAAUAAGAGGGGGGCAAGACUGGUGUCAGCCGCCGCGGUAACCCCAGCCCCUCGAGUGGUGGGGAUGAUUAUUUGGCCUAAAGCGUCCGUAGCGGGCCUUGUAAGUCUCCCGUUAAAUCCAGCGUCUCAAGCGUUGGACUGCGGGAGAUACUGCUCGGCUAGAGAGUGGGAGAGGUGUGCAGUAUUCUGGGGGUAGGGGCGAAAUCCUUUGAUCCCCGGAGGACCACCAGUGGCGAAGCUGCACACUAGAACACGUCUGACGGUCAGGGACGAAAGCUGGGGUAGCGAACCGGAUUAGAUACCCGGGUAGUCCCAGCUGUAAACGAUGCAUGCUAGGUGUUGGGUCGGCCAUGAGCCGCCUCAGUGCCGCAGGGAAGCCGUUAAGCAUGCCGCCUGGGGAGUACGGCCGCAAGGCUGAAACUUAAAGGAAUUGGCGGGGGAG
rnacentral:rRNA from 1 species